rnacentral:rRNA from 1 species
GACGAACGCUGGCGGCGUGCCUAAUACAUGCAAGUCGAACGCUUCUUUUUCCACCGGAGCUUGCUCCACCGGAAAAAGAGGAGUGGCGAACGGGUGAGUAACACGUGGGUAGCCUGCCCAUCAGAAGGGGAUAACACUUGGAAACAGGUGCCAAUACCGUAUAACAAUCAAAACCGCAUGGUUUUGAUUUGAAAGGCGCUUUCGGGUGUCGCUGAUGGAUGGACCCGCGGUGCAUUAGCUAGUUGGUGAGGUAACGGCUCACCAAGGCCACGAUGCAUAGCCGACCGGAGAGGGUGAUCGGCCACAUUGGGACUGAGACACGGCCCAAACUCCUACGGGAGGCAGCAGUAGGGAAUCUUCGGCAAUGGACGAAAGUCUGACCGAGCAACGCCGCGUGAGUGAAGAAGGUUUUCGGAUCGUAAAACUCUGUUGUUAGAGAAGAACAAGGAUGAGAGUAACUGUUCAUCCCUUGACGGUAUCUAACCAGAAAGCCACGGCUAACUACGUGCCAGCAGCCGCAGUAA